rnacentral:rRNA from 1 species
UGAGGAAUAUUGGUCAAUGGGCGGGAGCCUGAACCAGCCAAGUCGCGUGAAGGAAGAAGGAUCUAUGGUUCGUAAACUUCUUUUGCAGGGGAAUAAAGUGCAGGACGUGUCCUGUUUUGUAUGUACCCUGAGAAUAAGGAUCGGCUAACUCCGUGCCAGCAGCCGCGGUAAUACGGAGGAUCCGAGCGUUAUCCGGAUUUAUUGGGUUUAAAGGGUGCGUAGGUGGUUUGAUAAGUCAGCGGUGAAAGUUUGCAGCUUAACUGUAAAAAUGCCGUUGAAACUGUCGGACUUGAGUGUAAAUGAGGUAGGCGGAAUGCGUGGUGUAGCGGUGAAAUGCAUAGAUAUCACGCAGAACUCUGAUUGCGAAGGCAGCUUACUAAGCUACAACUGACACUGAAGCACGAAAGCGUGGGGAUCAAACA